rnacentral:tRNA from 1 species
UCCCUGGUGGCUCAGAUGGUAAAGUGUCUGCCUAUAGUGCAGGAGACCUGGGUUCGAUCCCUGGGUUGGGAA